AGAAUUAUUUUUUUCCGGAUUUCGUUUUGGAGGAGCCUCAGUAACCAUCAAAAACUGAUUGAAGAGAGCUGUAACUUCAUAAAGGGACCACAGGACUGUACUGCGGGGUGACAUUUCCACGAAAUAGUAUAAUGGAAGCCAAGGCCAUGCUCGUGCUGCUCAUGUUGUGUUGUUGGUGUCUAGUCAGUCAACAAGUCCACGCAUCAAGACUAGACGGUCUCAGACAACAGUACAACCUUGACAGGGAGAUCGAUCCGGAAACGCAGCGGAAAAGGCGCCCACUGAGCUCGCUCAACAGGAGACCCGAGCAACACGACUACCAUUUCGGCGGCACCCUCUUCCGUAAAAGGAUGCUUGGUAAUGGCGAAUAUGUGGUCCAAGAUCCGGGCUACUACGCAUUCGAAGACGAGUAAAGAUGAGGCCUAUACAUCUUCAAGACAGAUACGUAAUUCCUACAAGACAGUUGACACCAUUCCUUUGACAAGCCUUGCCGCAUAGACCGACUUCAUAAUUGACUGCAUGGUUGGCUGAAGAAUUAUUCAAAAUGUAAUCAUUCAAUGAGAUGAUUUUUUUUUAAUUCGUUGUUAGAAUAAGUCACAUGGACAUACAGUUCAAAGCUCCUGUAUAUUUUGUUGCCGCGGUUAGAAGAUACGCGGUUGUUAACAUAUUUAUUUAAAACAUCGAACAUUCCUACCAAAAAAACAAAAUGACCGAAGAUUUGCUUCUGAACUUACUGAAGCAAAUUCUGUGCAGUGAUGUACAUUGGUUGACAUCUCACUUACACAAUGUAAUGCUAGGCAACAGAGCUAGGUCAUUUUAUAUAAAAGACAUAUAUUUGUAUUCAAUUGACCAUCAUUGUUGAUGCCAUUAUACUGUAUACGCCGUACUACAUGUUUGUCAAUAGGCGUAGCAGUGGCAGCCUAAUUAUGGAUGUACAUGUACUAUGUACCAUUUGUUCAAGUUUAAUGUCUGUUUAAAACUUUUUGUCAUGAUGUUGGCCUAAAUGACAGGUAUCCUGUGUACGUCUAAUUCAAUAUCAGAUCUCACGCUUUGAAAGGAAUUCUUGCCUCUUUCUUGAGUAACCAGGUCACACUUUCUACACGUUAAAUCAAUUUUAAAAGAUUGCUUUUUUGUAUAGAUUUUCCUCUUAGUAUACUUCCAGUCUAUCAGUAACUACAAGCUACGUCAGAACCCCUCCGCCGAGUAUUUGUAUUAAAAGUUACCCCAUUUUUUUAUCAACUCGCCCAUCUCAGUCUUUCGGCUUCUGAAGACGAUCUUAAAGUUAAAAAAAAUGUCUGUGGUAAAAGACAGUCUUGUGGUUAUCCGUACAGCCUCAUUGUGGGAUAACCUUUAAUUUGAACGUCUUUUGAAUGAUAAUGUUAGUCCACCAAUAUUGAUUGGAAUAUUUAUUACAUGUCAUCUGGCUGCUCAAUUCCCCAUACUGAAUGUAGCACUAGCCAGACGUCAAGACGAUACUGUAAGAGUUACGCCAUCAGUGAUUAAGCUUGGAGAUGACAUAUCUUUUUGCACUGUUUAGCGACCCGGUGUAUGGCAAUGAACUAUCUUAAUAAAAUUAGUGAAAUCCCUAAUGAAAUUACACACUACCCCCGGAGUGAUGCAUCAUUUUACCGUAUAAUUAAACGGACAGUUGAUGUUGUCAAAGACUGUCCGUGACUUCUCACGUCUGAAAGUCUAACUUGACUGAUUUUUAAUUAGAGUUAAGUAGUGACCGCUCCUGCAUUUCUAUUGCCGCUGGCUUCCGAACACGUAUUAAAUUUUAAAUCAACCUCAGUCCUAGGGUCUUGCAGUACGCUCUUUACUAUAGGAUACGUGGUUGAAAAUAAAGUAAGCCCUUGGGACGAUAUUUCUUUAUCUGAAAUUACAAAAAAGUGACGAAAAUUUUAAUAAAUCAAGCACAAGUAAGUGUUUGACAUCUGCAUAAUUAGUAACAAUUCUCAAUGCAUAGUGAUAAAGAAAGGGAGAAUAAUUUUUCAGUGUACGCUUUAUAAAUAUGCCGAUUUGGAAGCAAUAGCAGCGACGGUGGUGAUAUAUUACAAAAUAAACGAAGGGACAUGAAACAUCUUUGUCUCAUUUAUUAUUAAAUGUAAAGCAUAAGUCAUUGAGAGCAAUGCUGCGGCUAUUGAACAACUUGUUUUCCGACAUUGUAAAUCUGACGAAAUAAAC